rnacentral:lncRNA from 1 species
UCCUAUGUAAGGCUUCUGUCCUUCUCUCGCAGGAAAAUAGAAUUUGCCUUGUGACCUUGAAGUCUGUUUGGAUCCGGGAAGGUGACUGGCGUCUGGAACACACUCUCUGGGCAGGAACUGUUUGCGCGCGGCCCGCAUCCGGGAUUUCAGGAAGACUCUUCAUGACAGAUGUCGGCUGACUGCCACGUGCGAGGCUAUUCAGACUGUGAGCUCCCCGCGGGCAGGGUGCCCAGCAGAAUCCCAGCACAUACAGGCCCUUCCUUGGUGGGAUGGAUGCUCUGAUAAGAGGGAAUGAGAAGUGUCACUGGAGUUCUCAUUGGCUGAGCAUCCAGGACCAGGUGGGAGAAAGCGUCGACUCUGGGGGAGGUAAGAAGAGAUGAGGCAUCACUUCCAUUUGCAUUGAGAACACAUGCAAGGUUGGCUUGAGCACCACCCCUGAGUAGAAGCUGGUGUCUACUGUCUUAGGCCACAACGGCUCAUUCCAGACCCCCAGUUUCAACCAUUUACCAGACUUCCCCAUCCCAAACAGUGAAGUGAGAUCAACUUCUGAUAUUGCCCUCUGGGAAACACACAUGUGUUUCAACAGCCUUUCUGUAGAACUUCUUUGGUGGCCGCAAAGCUUUUGCAUGCACAUUGGAGGGAGCAUGGAGUGGCUUUAGUUUCUUGUUGGUUCCAGCUGAGAAAGAACCCCUGAGCUGGAAACUGGGGUCAGUGGAGUUCAAAAGCAAACUCCUGGUAUCCUCGCACUUUUCGGAUUCCUGGCCACUCACCCAAAUGAACCUCACUCAGAGAAUUUGAAAAUGCCCUGAGGAAAUAGUUAUCCGUGAAAUCAUUUUGUGUGGAGGAUCAGGAAGAGUGAAUGUCUUGGCACCAUGUCACAAGUUUCCCUUUUGUGCAUGUGUGACAAACGCGGAGCACUUUUAUCCAUGCUAGGCUCCAUAACAAGCUUGUGACAUGCAUUGUAUCUUUCAGUCUCAACUUGUCUCUCUGAAGGCGGUUCUGUUAUUUCCCCAUCAUAGAGAAGUUUAACUCUGGAAGGUCUUUUUGCUCCUAUGUGGAAGAGUUGGAUCUUAAAACUCAAGUUUAUUUUCUUCUAAGCCUGAGCUCUUCCUACUACCACC